GGGCCCGCACAAGCGGUGGAGUAUGUGGUUUAAUUCGAAGCAACGCGCAGAACCUUACCAGCCCUUGACAUGUUAGGUUUGAUUACCAGAGAUGGUUUUCUUCAGUUCGGCUGGCCUAAACACAGGUGCUGCAUGGCUGUCGUCAGCUCGUGUCGUGAGAUGUUGGGUUAAGUCCCGCAACGAGCGCAACCCUCAUCUUCUGUUGCCAGCGGUUCGGCCGGGCACUCUGGAGAAACUGCCUGCGAUGAGCAGGAGGAAGGCGGGGAUGACGUCAAGUCCUCAUGGCCCUUAUGGGCUGGGCUACACACGUACUACAAUGGCGUGACAAUGGGCAGCGACAGGGCGACCUGAAGCAAAUCCCAAAAACCGUCCCAGUUCGGAUUGCACUCUGCAACUCGAGUGCAUG
rnacentral:rRNA from 1 species